GAAGACUUCCCGACCUGGGCCUGUGUGUGUGUUCUGUCUCUAUGAAGUAUUUUGCCUCAAAGAACUUGCCUGGUUAAAAGUCAGCAGAAAGUAAAUCUCAGAAGUCAACAGAUAAUGCAGUUGUGGAGGAAAGCCCCAGCACAGGGUUUCAGCAGAGGCGACCGCACCAAAGAUGGUCAUUGACUAAACGAGAGGAUCUUGGGGAGCCACCACUCGUGGCAGGACCACUGAUCUGUGAAGUAUGGAAAAAAACAUCUUGGGGGAGUUUCAGAGCUAUGGGUGCCUUGGAGAUCCUUAAGGAUACUAGGAUAGAGACAGAGAGUUCUCAUGGAGGCCAUGCCAACAUCAGCACGCUAAACUGCAGAAGCAGUGGCUUCCCACACUUCCAGAUUAAAAAGUAUCCCAAGAGAACAGAUCUUAAAUGCAGGCAGCUCUGUGAUAUUCACUCUUCUGAAGGUUACAGCUAAUGUUGAGCUGUAUUUAUUUACCCUCCCAAACCCAGAAGCGAAAAUGAAGGGACGGGAUUGAUUCUUGAAUUCUGGAAUGGAGAGACCCAAGAUCACUUCUCUUUCCGUCCUCAUCUCUCCUCCAACCUGGGUGUCAUAAGGAUUGCAGAUGCUCCCAGCACAGUCCUUACAGUGUUGCUUCUCUGAGGUCAAAGGUGCCUGAGUCCUACAUCUGCACAACUAGUGAAAUCAUUGAAAUAAUGCUGAGAAGAAUGAGACGGCCAAUUCUCGGUGGCUCCCUACCUCCAUUCGGGUCUUGCUGCAGCUGUCACUCUUUAAAAAACAGAAGGUAAUAAAGCUGCUUUUGGUCACCUGGGGGAUAGUGAUUCGACUUUGUUGACACUAGUCUAAAAGUGGGAUCAUGACUUGAUCAUUUUCAUCUAGGGACUCAGGGAGCAAGGCAGUGGCAGGGCCUCUGGAUCAGACACUCAGGGACUUGAAUUAGCAGUGUAAGUACUACAAGAGAAGCUAGGCUACCAGGAGCAGAAGCUAACAUGGAAAGGCAAUGAUGGCAAGAAUUUACUGACUACAUGCCAGUCAGCAUUCCAUGACUGUGACAAAGUACCUGAAUGAAUCAAUCCAUGAAGCAGAGCGUUUGUCUGGGCUUCCAGUUUCAGUCCAUGGUUACGUGGACCUCUUGUCUUGGGCAUGUGGCAGCACAACGUACCACAAGAGCAAAUGGCAUAGUGGUCAUACUCACAUCAUGACCACUGGAAAGCAAAGACAGACAAAGAGAAGCCAGAGUCGUAAUGAUCCCUUUAAGAGUAUGCCUUGAAGGAUCUAACUUCCUGCUACUAGUCCUGAGCGCCUGAAUGUUUCACCAUUUUGCACAAGUGCCAUGAGUUAUGGACUAAAUUUCAAUGCAUGGCCCUUGUGGAACUUUUCAUAAAAUGUUAUCUUAAAACUCCAUACUUCAUUU